CCAACCCCAAGCGCCGCUGACCCCGAACGUCGCUGCGGGGUAGGUAGGGGGUGGGAGGGUGGAGGACCGCAGGCGAGAGGGAGAAGGAAGGGCGCCCGGGGAGCAGGCUGGCAGAGUGACCGGGAUUGAUGAGCGGCGCAGCUCUGGAGGGACGCGGGCGAGAGGGUCGCUCCUCGGGGAGAGGGCUGGGUGAGUGAGGACCUGCGAGCCACCCCCGACACCCCUUCCAGGGUAGCCACACUGGCGCCCCCUCCUCCACAACAGGCUUAUGUGGCUAGAGAAGAUGCGAUGCCACUGGACAGGGAAGGAAAGUCGUCGUGGACUUCGCUGAAUGGAAAAGGGGGUAGUUGGGGAAGGUGGAGAAAAGAGCCACGGGAAGUGGGAGGAAAGGAUGAAGGGAUGGGACGUUGAAAAGGAAAGCUUCCUGAAUCCCUGUGUGACUCUAACCCAACCUCCCCACCUACCGGAGAAAUGGGUUUUAUCCUAGAAAUGGGGACGAGGAAAAAGAGAUGGCUCAAGGGAGUCCUGGCCCGGGAUGCGAUCCUCGCCCUAGGGUCUAUUGCAACCACACAAACCCGGACAGCGCACGCUCCCCCCUACCCCGACAGAAUAGUGCCUAAGAAACCUGCUUGCCUCCUAACUCUAGGAAGGAAUCCACAACGGAUUCCAGGGAGGUCUUCUGGGGAAUCUGAAUUGGGUUUUUGGAUCACGAACCAUUAAGCUUUUGAACUCUGGGGAAGAAUAGAACAGGUGGCUGGAAAUUGUUUUAGAACCCUACCUGAGCAGGUGUGCUCAUUAGUUGCUUAUCCGCCCUCCUCCUGGAGCACUUUCAUAGGUGUUGGCAAAGCAGGUACCAGUAUUUCACGGAAGGAGAAGGAAGAACCGCCCAGGACUGUGUAUAAAUGUCUAUGGGAAUAUUUUUAAGGAUUCAAAAGGCUAGAAGGAGGUGAGAUCAAAAAAUUUUUCCAGCACCACCCAGUGCAACCCGAUCCUGGACACAGAAAUCUAAAAGAUGAUACUUAAAUACUUGAGUUUGAGAGCCUCUAGUUAUAAGGUUUCCUACGUAACAACCUCUCACUUUUCUCAAAAACUGGCUAGUUGACAACCGGCAGUCAAGUUUUGGCUAGUCAAGAAGCUACUUUUUCCUGCAAUAAACCACAUUUAGAGAUAGUACUGGGCUUCAGCAGGAUUGAGGCUAUAUUGAGGUCGCAAGUAUGAACGAGGUACCCACAGAGAUGGGAGGGCCAGGAGAUCCUACUCAUUCAGUACCUCAGAAGCUAUGACACGGGAUAACAGUAGCUUCAGCCCUUUGGAUGAAAUAAUCCUCACUCCCUCAAAAGUGCUCUCUACCCACUCAAAACACAGGCCAUACUACCACCAAUCUGGUAGACUUCAAAAGUAAGGUCUUUCAGCAGCAGAUUUCCUUGUUAACAGGAAGGUACUGACAAGCUUUACCUAAGCCUAUUGGAGCUAUGUUGUAAUUCUGUAUAUAAAUAGAACAGUCGCUGCAGGAAUACUGGAUGAGUCAGAAGAAAGGUCUGUCCUAAGCUGAUGUGACACAUUUCAAAAGGACCAGAAAUUAGAUGCAAUUGAUGACUGAGUUGAUCUCUAAGUGGAUUUAUCUUUGAAAUAAAAAUCAGUGGAUAUCCCAUAUACCCGACCCCACACCCUCCCCCAUUGUCAACAUCCCCAACCAAAGUAGCACAUUUGCUACAAAUAGUGAACCUACAUUGCCAGAUCAUUAUCACCCAAAGUCCAUAGUUUACAUUAGGGUUCACUCUUGGGGCUGUAUAUUCUAUAGGGUUGGACAAAUAUAGAAUAACAUGAACCCACCCUCAUAGUAUCAUAGUAUCAUACAGAGUAUUUUCACUGCCCUAAAAGUCCUCUGUACACCACCUAUUUAUCCCUUCCUCCCCCCAGUCUCUGGCAGCCACUGAAGUUUGACUGUAUCCCUGUCUCCUUAGUUUUGCCUUUUCCGGAAUGCCAUAUAUAAGGAAUCAUACAGUAUGCAGUCUUUCUUUCAAUUUUGCUGUGAAACUAAAACUGCUAAGAAAAUAAAGUCUUAAAAAGAAAAAUCAAUGGAGAAGGGAAAGGAGGCACUGGCCCCUCUCAAGCCUCGCAUGAGAAUUCAAC
rnacentral:lncRNA from 1 species